GAGGUGGGCCAUGAAUGACCAACAAAUUGCUCGAAGGAGUGGAUUGAGCUUGGCUGUAGACUCAAGUACCAAUACCAAGCUACCUUCUAUAAAGUGGAGGAAAAGGUUCGAUAGAGAAUUCCAUCACUAGCUUCAUGUAAUAGCAUGAGGGCCUUGAAGCUUUCCAAAUGAUCCACUGGGUUGGUUACCCUAUCAUAUUCCUCUAGCUAUGGCAUUUUGAAAUUGCUUG
rnacentral:lncRNA from 1 species